rnacentral:rRNA from 1 species
GGGGGCUGCGGAGGGAUCAUUG